rfam:Dipodomys ordii ctg_broad_rename0000104, whole genome shotgun sequence.
GGUGGCUCAGUGGUAGAGUGCUUGCCUUGCAUCCAUGAAGCCCUGGGUUCGAUUCCUCAGCACCA